GCUUUGGAUAAUGCAGCCUUGAAUAUAUGCUGCUGCCCUGACGGUGAGACACUGCUGAUAGUUUCUAAUACAGGCUGUGUUUUCAAAUUCAAACCACUGCUGAAUGGUAAAGUUGUCAAAGUUCUGGAUGCACUCUGUGGAGAUUUUGUGGCUGUUGCUCCAUUAUACACAGACAGAAGCAUUUGUUUGUCAGUCAGAGAAGCAGGAGACAUACAGCUGUGGGCUCUGGAUGAUGGACUUUGCAUGGGCUCCAUCUCUCUGCAGACACAUGUGACCAGUAUGGCAUGCUGCCCCAUAGCACAAUAUGUUGUUUUAGGGACAGCAACUGGAGACGUCCUGUUUGUGGAGAUGACCACAAAACAAAACCCCAGACUAGUUCACAGAGUUCAUCUCUCUACCAUGUCCCUGUAGACCAUUUGGUGUGAGUUUCACAGCACCAUGAUCAUUUCUUGUGAAUUGAAGCAAUGUGAACUGAAUGUUGAGCAUACUGGAUAUUAUAUUUGUUCAACAGGUUUGAUCAAGGUGGCAACUUCUUAUUCACUGGAGCAUCAGACUCACGCAUGUUUGUGCUGAGCACAAGACCAUCAGAAGGAUUUGAAAUUAUUGGAUGGAUUGGUCAUUUUUAGGAUGACGUACACUACUGUUCAGUUCUCUCUUUUUGGGGUCAGUAAGUUUUUGUUUUUUAAAGAAAUGUAUACUUUUAUUCAGCAAGGAUACUUUAAAUUGAUCAAAAGUAACAGUAAAGAAAUGUAAAAUUACAGAAGAUUUCUAUUUCAAAUAAAUGCAGUUCUAUUCUGUUUAUUAAAGAAUCC
ensembl:lncRNA